GGAGUAGGAUUGAGCAUCGAGUGAACCCAAGGAUGGGGACUCACCUGUUAUUCAGUGGAGGUUGUGAUCCUUAGAAGAAAUCCUUAUGUUCCAGAACUACAUAGCCAGCGUAGGUUGAGAUGCACCCUAUAAGUUUAGGGAUGUAUAUAUAUACACAUCUCAUUUGGGUUACCUACUAGGAGGGGUAGAUGGAAGAGCUCCCUGUUAGUGAGGGUAUACUCACAGUAAGUCAUUACCCGUGCACGGUAUUGACACCCUUCUAGUUGGGGUUAUAGGUUGGACCUCACCAGUUCAAUUUUGAGACAUGUCGGUUAGAUGAUUACCUCCCAC
rnacentral:lncRNA from 1 species